CGUAAUAUCGAUUAGGAACCUACACAUUAUUUGUAUGACAACAAAAUCGAUGUCGCACUUUAUGUAUUUCUAUGGUGUACGUUGAUACAUAAUUUUUCCAAACUCAGAAACUAAGGACUUUAUACGGCUAACUAUAAAAAGGGGCCACUGCCAAUUAGAUCGACCAUGAACAAAACGGAUGAGAGAACCUUUAACAUACAGGACUAUCCGUUUGCAGUUGUGAUAGGUGUUGUUGUCUAUCUGGUACUUUGGGCCUACCAGAUAUAUCGAGGACCUAACAGACCACAUUAUAACAAUGCGAUAGGAAACACUUAUCCUUCUGACAGACUGAUAGGCUCCCUCAGCAAUGAAGUGUGGUCAACGUCGUUAAACAGAACAGAAGGUAGAGCGGAAGAAUCUUCUUUCGGUAACUUUUCUCAAGGUAACAUAAUUCUAUUUAACAUUAUAAUAAAAUAGAUAUUACCAUUUUGAGAUGUCACUUGGAUACUGAGCAUUGUAAGAAACAAAAUACAUAUUAACAGCUAUUAGUUUUAUUUCUUGAUAUGCACAAACAUAUUACUCCAUGAAAAAUCUUUGGCUUCAAAUUCAAGCAGAAGCUAUGAAUAGCAAAUAACUACUUUUAAAUUAAAGUAGACUAAGGGCAGUAUUUAUGAAGUUUCGGUUUCUAAUCUUUUUAUACUUCGCCAUUAACUUUUUAAACUUUCGAACGCAAUUGAAUAGUAUACAUGGGAUACAGUGGAUACUCUCCUCAGGUUAUAAGAUUUUAAAUAAAGGCAACAGUAGUAUACCGCUGUUCAAAAGUCAUACAUCGAUUGAGAAAAAAGCAAAUCUGGGUUACAAUAUAAACCCAAGGGAAACAUAUCAACUAUAAAUGGAAAACAACGAGACAACAUAAUGCUGAUACUGAUAUUUUAAGACUGGUACCGUAUGUGUCACCAAUUAUAAAGAUUAAUUUGAAAAGAAUGUAUUAAAUCAUUAUUGUAAGCCUUCGAAUGUUCUAUGAAAUGACGAAACAGUGGCUCGACUUUUAUUAAACUUAAAAGACGUGAUAAGAAAAACACAUGAAUAGUUCUUUUGUUUAUGAAGCUAGCUAAGCAUAAUUAUAGAGAAUAACAUAAUACCAUUUAAGUUAGUUAGACAAAAAAGAUAUCUUGUCUUUUCUAGUUAUAUUGUAAAAAAGGGGAAAAUACCGAUAUACAAAUAAAUUUUGUAUGUUUGCCUCCUUGUUUUUUCAUAUUUGUUACACAUGUUACAGAUCAGACCAACUGUCUGCUGAUUUAAGUAAGUUACAGCAGGACCAUCCUAUAUUGUUGGUGCCACCUCCUACACCGGAUCCACCGAAUCCUCAGUGAGAUAGAUGUUCUGAAUGUUCUGAAUCAAGUUUCAAGAACGGAUUGUAAUAAAAAUUGUAGUGAAACAUUGACAUUAAUAUGUUUCAUACAUGCCGAUCUUAUAUAUAUAUAUAUAUAUAUAUAUAUAUAUUAAAUAGAAAUGGCUUUACUCGAUAUGAGAAGUUAGAUCAUUACAUUUUUU